UCAAACAUCAGAACGGGAAGAAAAGUGAUCUAAGUGACUGACCAUGGAAUGACUGUUGGUGCCAGAUGCGGUGGUAAAAAUCUCUAGCAUUUACAGAGAAUGGUGUGAAAAACAAAUAAAACACUCAGUGAGUGGCAGUUCCGUGGGUGAAAAUGCCUUGUUAAUGAGAGAGGUCAGAGGAGAAUGGCCAGACUGGUUCACGCAGACAGGAAGGUGACAGUAACUCAAAUAACCACACGUUACAACAGUGGUGUGCAGAAGAGCAUCUCUGAAUGCACAACACAUCAAACCUUGAAGUGAAUGGACUACAGCAGCAGAAGAUGCAGUCAGGGUAGAAGAUUUGAUUGGAAUGAGGAACAGAAGUCCUGGAAGAUCAGAUUUCCCAGUGGCCCUGCAGAGAUCGUGUGGGUUUCUUGUACAAGCUGCAGGUGCAUCAGAUAGAUUGGAGUCAUUGCAGCUGAGGUAAAUUGCGGAGAUGGACCCACUGUGUUACUUUGCUACUUGGGAAAUUGAAGUUAUUUCCAGCAAUUUGUAAAAAUUUUUGUUUUAAUGCUUGCUGCACGUGAUCAUCAUUUUCUUUAUAACUUUCCAUGUUACAGAGGCAUUAGUCUGGUAAUAAUUCAAAUAUAUUAAGGGUUACAAAAACAGCCAAGAAACUGUGAUUACAGUUAGCAGUAGUGCGAACACUUGAUUUGAGUAUGAUGUUCUCUCAAUUCCCAUUAUGGAGAAUACCUGCGUGUGGCUUUGUUCAACGCGGGGAGGCUGGUCCAUGGGUAGCCACUACACAGUCAUUGACAGGUCGGCGUCAGGGUCCAGUGGCGUGGAGUGCAAGAUGACUGGGGACCCUUCCCUGCUUCAGCCUUCCUCCGCCUUCAUCUGCCACUGUGAUGGGUCAUUGUCUUCUGCCACUUCCACCGCUGAGGCAAACAACAGGAAUUCUGCAGAUGCUGGAAAUUCAAGCAACACACAUCAAAGUUGCUGGUGAAUGCAACAGGCCA